rnacentral:rRNA from 1 species
GUUGCUGGAGGUAUCAGAAGUGCGAAUGCUGACAUAAGUAACGAUAAAGCGGGUGAAAAGCCCGCUCGCCGGAAGACCAAGGGUUCCUGUCCAACGUUAAUCGGGGCAGGGUGAGUCGACCCCUAAGGCGAGGCCGAAAGGCGUAGUCGAUGGGAAACGGGUUAAUAUUCCCGUACUUGGUGUUACUGCGAAGGGGGGACGGAGAAGGCUAUGUUGGCCGGGCGACGGUUGUCCCGGUUUAAGCGUGUAGGCUGGUUUUCCAGGCAAAUCCGGAAAAUCAAGGCUGAGGCGUGACGACGAGGCACUACGGUGCUGAAGCAACAAAUGCCCUGCUUCCAGGAAAAGCCUCUAAGCAUCAGGUAACACGAAAUCGUACCCCAAACCGACACAGGUGGUCAGGUAGAGAAUACCAAGGCGCUUGAGAGAACUCGGGUGAAGGAACUAGGCAAAAUGGUGCCGUAACUUCGGGAGAAGGCACGCUGACAUGUAGGUGAAGUGAUUUACUCAUGGAGCUGAAGUCAGUCGAAGAUACCAGCUGGCUGCAACUGUUUAUUAAAAACACAGCACUGUGCAAACACGAAAGUGGACGUAUACGGUGUGACGCCUGCCCGGUGCCGGAAGGUUAAUUGAUGGGGUCAGCGCAAGCGAAGCUCCUGAUCGAAGCCCCGGUAAACGGCGGCCGUAACUAUAACGGUCCUAAGGUAGCGAAAUUCCUUGUCGGGUAAGUUCCGACCUGCACGAAUGGCGUAAUGAUGGCCAGGCUGUCUCCACCCGAGACUCAGUGAAAUUGAACUCGCUGUGAAGAUGCAGUGUACCCGCGGCAAGACGGAAAGACCCCGUGAACCUUUACUAUAGCUUGACACUGAACAUUGAGCCUUGAUGUGUAGGAUAGGUGGGAGGCUUUGAAGUGUGGACGCCAGUCUGCAUGGAGCCGACCUUGAAAUACCACCCUUUAAUGUUUGAUGUUCUAACGUGGACCCGUGAUCCGGGUUGCGGACAGUGUCUGGUGGGUAGUUUGACUGGGGCGGUCUCCUCCUAAAGAGUAACGGAGGAGCACGAAGGUUGGCUAAUCCUGGUCGGACAUCAGGAGGUUAGUGCAAUGGCAUAAGCCAGCUUGACUGCGAGCGUGACGGCGCGAGCAGGUGCGAAAGCAGGUCAUAGUGAUCCGGUGGUUCUGAAUGGAAGGGCCAUCGCUCAACGGAUAAAAGGUACUCCGGGGAUAACAGGCUGAUACCGCCCAAGAGUUCAUAUCGACGGCGGUGUUUGGCACCUCGAUGUCGGCUCAUCACAUCCUGGGGCUGAAGUAGGUCCCAAGGGUAUGGCUGUUCGCCAUUUAAAGUGGUACGCGAGCUGGGUUUAGAACGUCGUGAGACAGUUCGGUCCCUAUCUGCCGUGGGCGCUGGAGAACUGAGGGGGGCUGCUCCUAGUACGAGAGGACCGGAGUGGACGCAUCACUGGUGUUCGGGUUGUCAUGCCAAUGGCACUGCCCGGUAGCUAAAUGCGGAAGAGAUAAGUGCUGAAAGCAUCUAAGCACGAAACUUGCCCCGAGAUGAGUUCUCCCUGAGACUUAGAGUCUCCUGAAGGAACGUUGAAGACGACGACGUUGAUAGGCCGGGUGUGUAAGCGCAGCGAUGCGUUGAGCUAACCGGUACUAAUGAACCGUGA